rnacentral:rRNA from 1 species
UACGAAGGGGGGCUAGCGUUGCUCGGAAUCACUGGGCGUAAAGGGUGCGUAGGCGGGUCUUUUAAGUCAGGGGUGAAAUCCUGGAGCUCAACUCCAGAACUGCCUUUGAUACUGAAGAUCUUGAGUCCGGGAGAGGUGAGUGGAACUCCGAGUGUAGAGGUGAAAUUCGUAGAUAUUCGGAAGAACACCAGUGGCGAAGGCGGCUCACUGGCCCGGUACUGACGCUGAGGUGCGAAAGCGUGGGGAGCGAACAGG